AUGACGAUUCAAUCACGCCCCCACACGACGAGGCACAGAGGACCCAGGUCAACUCCAACACACGACCCGAGCGAACGUCAAUUUUGUAUGGAUUUUGUAUAUUUAGGUCGGGUAAGGAGCUGUGUCCGGCAUUUGUAUAUUUGCGCUGGGUUUCCGGCAUUUGUACAUUUGCACUGGCCGUGCGCCCAACUGACUAAUGGAUUUUCGUCUGGCCGCGUAAUGUUUUGCAAAGAAAAUAGAAUCAGAAAUUUAGCCCCCCCUAGUUCAUGCCGGCUAGAGCGCCAGCAGCCAGCACAUGUAUCAGCCUACAAAAUAAUCACUUGGCAUACUUGCUAG
rnacentral:rRNA from 1 species